GGGUGAUUAGCUCAGUUGGUUAGAGCGCUUCAAUCACACUGAAGAGGUCACAGGUUCGAAUCCUGUAUUACCCA
rnacentral:tRNA from 1 species